rnacentral:rRNA from 1 species
UACGUAGGGGGCAAGCGUUGUCCGGAAUCAUUGGGCGUAAAGAGCGUGUAGGCGGUCCGAUAAGUCGGUUGCGAAAGUCCAGGGCUCAACCCUGGGAUGCCGACCGAUACUGUCGGACUAGAGUUCGGAAGAGGCGAGUGGAAUUCCCGGUGUAGCGGUGAAAUGCGCAGAUAUCGGGAGGAACACCUAUGGCGAAGGCAGCUCGCUGGGACGUGACUGACGCUGAGACGCGAAAGCGUGGGGAGCAAACAGG